rnacentral:snRNA from 1 species
AUACUCUUGUUUCUCUUCAGAUCGCAUAAAUCUUUCGCCUUUUACUAAAGAUUUCCGUGGAGAGAAACACUUUUGAGUGUCCUACCAAUUUUUUGAGGUCUUGCUUUGGCAAGACU